rnacentral:rRNA from 1 species
UGGCGGCAGGCCUAACACAUAGCAAGUCGAGCGGUAACAUUUCUAGCUUGCUAGAAGAUGACGAGCGGCGGACGGGUGAGUAACGCGUAGAAAUCUACCUAGUAGUGGGGGAUAGCCCAGAGAAAUUUGGAUUAAUACCGCAUACGCCCUACGGGGGAAAGCGGGGGAUCUUCGGACCUCGUGCUAUUAGAUGAGUCUGCGUCGGAUUAGCUUGUUGGUGAGGUAAUGGCUCACCAAGGCGACGAUCCGUAGCUGGUCUGAGAGGAUGACCAGCCACACUGGAACUGAGACACGGUCCAGACUCCUACGGGAGGCAGCAGUGGGGAAUAUUGCACAAUGGGCGCAAGCCUGAUGCAGCCAUGCCGCGUGUGUGAAGAAGGCCUUAGGGUUGUAAAGCACUUUCAGCAGUGAGGAAAGGGGUGUCGUUAAUAGCGCCAUCCUGUGACGUUAACUGCAGAAGAAGGACCGGCUAACUCCGUG